rnacentral:rRNA from 1 species
UUGAAGAGUUUGAUCAUGGCUCAGAUUGAACGCUGGCGGCAGGCCUAACACAUGCAAGUCGAACGGUAACAGGAAGCAGCUUGCUGCUUCGCUGACGAGUGGCGGACGGGUGAGUAAUGUCUGGGAAACUGCCUGAUGGAGGGGGAUAACUACUGGAAACGGUGGCUAAUACCGCAUAACGUCGCAAGACCAAAGAGGGGGACCUUCGGGCCUCUUGCCAUCAGAUGUGCCCAGAUGGGAUUAGCUUGUUGGUGAGGUAACGGCUCACCAAGGCGACGAUCCCUAGCUGGUCUGAGAGGAUGACCAGCCACACUGGAACUGAGACACGGUCCAGACUCCUACGGGAGGCAGCAGUGGGGAAUAUUGCACAAUGGGCGCAAGCCUGAUGCAGCCAUGCCGCGUGUAUGAAGAAGGCCUUCGGGUUGUAAAGUACUUUCAGCGGGGAGGAAGGUGUUGUGGUUAAUAACCGCAGCAAUUGACGUUACCCGCAGAAGAAGCACCGGCUAACUCCGUGCCAGCAGCCGCGGUAAUACGGAGGGUGCAAGCGUUAAUCGGAAUUACUGGGCGUAAAGCGCACGCAGGCGGUCUGUCAAGUCGGAUGUGAAAUCCCCGGGCUCAACCUGGGAACUGCAUUCGAAACUGGCAGGCUUGAGUCUUGUAGAGGGGGGUAGAAUUCCAGGUGUAGCGGUGAAAUGCGUAGAGAUCUGGAGGAAUACCGGUGGCGAAGGCGGCCCCCUGGACAAAGACUGACGCUCAGGUGCGAAAGCGUGGGGAGCAAACAGGAUUAGAUACCUUGGUAGUCCACGCCGUAAACGAUGUCUACUUGGAGGUUGUGCCCUUGAGGCGUGGCUUCCGGAGCUAACGCGUUAAGUAGACCGCCUGGGGAGUACGGCCGCAAGGUUAAAACUCAAAUGAAUUGACGGGGGCCCGCACAAGCGGUGGAGCAUGUGGUUUAAUUCGAUGCAACGCGAAGAACCUUACCUGGUCUUGACAUCCACAGAAGAAUCCAGAGAUGGAUUUGUGCCUUCGGGAACUGUGAGACAGGUGCUGCAUGGCUGUCGUCAGCUCGUGUUGUGAAAUGUUGGGUUAAGUCCCGCAACGAGCGCAACCCUUAUCCUUUGUUGCCAGCGAUUAGGUCGGGAACUCAAAGGAGACUGCCAGUGAUAAACUGGAGGAAGGUGGGGAUGACGUCAAGUCAUCAUGGCCCUUACGACCAGGGCUACACACGUGCUACAAUGGCGCAUACAAAGAGAAGCGACCUCGCGAGAGCAAGCGGACCUCAUAAAGUGCGUCGUAGUCCGGAUUGGAGUCUGCAACUCGACUCCAUGAAGUCGGAAUCGCUAGUAAUCGUGGAUCAGAAUGCCACGGUGAAUACGUUCCCGGGCCUUGUACACACCGCCCGUCACACCAUGGGAGUGGGUUGCAAAAGAAGUAGGUAGCUUAACCUUCGGGAGGGCGCUUACCACUUUGUGAUUCAUGACUGGGGUGAAGUCGUAACAAGGUAACCGUAGGGGAACCUGCGGUUGGAUCACCUCCUU